CCUACGGGAGGCAGCAGUAGGGAAUUUUCGGCAAUGGGGGGAACCCUGACCGAGCAACGCCGCGUGAACGAAGACGUUCUUCGUAAUGUAAAGUUCUUUUAACAGGGAAGAAAGAGAAAUUUGACGGUACCUGAAGAAUAAGCUCCGGUUAACUACGUCCCAGCAGCCGGGGUAAUACGUAGGGAGCGAGCGUUAUCCGGAAUUAUUGGGCGAAAAGGGUGCGUAAAUGGCAUAGUAAGUCUUUUGUAAAAAUGCUGGGCUCAACCCAGUAGGGCAAAAGAUACUGGAAAGCUAGAGUAUGACAGAGGCAAGCGGAACUACAUGUGUAGCGGUAAAAUGCGUAAAUAUAUGUAAGAACACCAGUGGCGAAGGCGGCUUGCUGGGUCGAUACUGACAUUGAGGCACGAAAGCGUGGGGAGCAAACAGGAUUAGAUACCCCAGUAGUC
rnacentral:rRNA from 1 species